UGUCCACUGCUGUGAUAUUGCUGGAAUAUUGCUAAAAGAGGCGUAAAACUAAACUCACUCACUAAGUCGUAAUGUUUUAUCAGGAGACAAUAUUGAGGCUGGAUGUUUGGUACUGAAAUGGGAUGGAAUGAAAAGUAAAACAAGUUUAUUACAUAUUUGUAUGUAAACAACUAAAAUUAAUUGUUAUGGUUAAUUAUUAUGCAUAUUUUAUGCAAAAAGCUUAUCUGGAGCAGCUUUUGUUGGUGUAUUUUUAUUUUUUUAAUGUAAUGAAACCAUCUUAGUUUGAGGCCAGUGAUAUUAAAUGUUAUGUUUUGGUGCAUUGUAUUUUGGAUGAUGCUUCAGUAUCAAAUCUAGAUGUUGUCUUGUGUUCAUGUUUUAUCUAAUUUAAUUCAGUUUUAAAUAUACCUUUGGCCUAAUGUUUUAUAGCUUUGUUUGUGAUGGUUUAUGGACCCAAGACCACUUACAUGGAUAGGCUCUGGCAAAAGGGGCAGUGGGGUAGCCUAGUGGUUGAAGCAUUUUCUCUUCGCGCUGAAGACCCGGGUUUGAUUCCCAACAUGGGUACAAAUGUGUGAAGCCCAUUUCUGGUGUCCGCUGGCAUGAUAUUUCUGGAAUAUUGCUAAAAGCAGCAUUAAACCAUACUCACUUAGCACUAUACAAAAGUAUCUUUUGUAUGGUACUAAGACAUAGGGUACAGUGAUAGUAUAUAUUGCUAAAAGCGUAAAAACUAACUAACUAACUCACUCAACUUCUCUUGCAACACUUGGCAUUGGUAUCUAGUUGUCGAAUGAAUGGUCAGAAUGACUGUGUGACUACAGAUGGUUUUGGGGCAUCCAGUGGUCUGAGAGCUUGCAGUAUCUAUAUCCACAAUUGCAGCUGUUACAUAUGUCAAUGUUUGAAUGUGAAAUUCACCCUGCUUGUAACCCUUGCUCUCACAAUGAAGUGCAUAUAUGACUGACAUUGCUCACUUGGCUCAGGCGCUGCAGGUCUCUUUACAGAGUUAUGUCCCUUUGGUACGCAAAAAAACUUUCAACAUAGAUUCCAAUCCCAGUUAGACCCAGUCAUGCUUCUAGGUAUGUCAGCAUCAUUCCUGUUUGUGGGUUUCACAAAAUCUGCUACCGUAUAUGUCUAAGACCUAACUGGAUCAGGCUUUUCUUGUCAAGCCGAAGACCCGGGCUUGAUUCCCCACAUGGAUGCAAUGUGCCAAGUCCAUUUCUGGUGUCCCGUCACGAUAUUGCUGUAAUAUUGCUAAAAGUGAGGCAAAUUCUUACUCACUGUAUGCAAUCUCUUCAGAGCCCUUUUACAAAGUUCAAACGUGUAAAUCUUAGUCCAUUUUAGUUUGUGUACAUUACAUCUCCGAAGACACUGGGAUAGGAGUAUAUAACUUCCUUCUAUCUCUUAAAUCUUUGAAGGGCAUCUAGAAGUGGAAUGCAGAAGAAAAGAAAGAUUUAUGGAUGUCAAUUUCUUUAUUAUGAAUAACACGACGUUUCUGAGUGUAUGCUUUAUCCGUCAUCAGGUGAAUGGUGACGGAGCAAGCAUACACUCCGAAACGUCGUGUUAUUCAUAAUAAAGAAGUUGACAUCCAUAAAUCUUUCUUUUCUUAUACUGUCUCUUACUAUUGGGUUUUAGCAACAUCUAAACCAAAUCUACUGCUUGGUCUCCAGCAAUAAUUCAACUUGCUCAUAGUGUUCAUACAAUUUUAAGUGCCCCUCUACUUUCUCUUUAUCUAAUGUGGCGAAUACAGUAUGUGUAUACCUCAUUGUUUGAACUGAUAUGUGUUAUUUCUUCAGGUGCAUAAGUGUUAAUGUACAUAAAACAGUCAAUAUGUUUGUUUUGAUCGAAAACUCCUUCAUGCCCACAAGAUCUUUUGUAUUUUAAGGCACUUCAGGGUGUAAUUAUAGGCUAUGCAUAACUUCAGAAUUUGUGUAUAUGUAUUCACAAAUAUAAUAAUGCACAUGUUGUUGAUCACUGGAUUGUCUGGUCCACACUCAGUUAUUUACAGACAGCUGCCAUAUAGCUGGGUCCCAUUCCUCAAAGCGUCAUCGAGAGCUACGAUGAUCGUGAACUCCCAUACUUUAACAUAGACUUACGACUGUCGUGAAGCCUACGAUUGCUGUGAGGAACGGGCCCUGGUGUAUUGUUGAGUGUGGCGUUAUACAACAAACCAACCAACCAAAA
rnacentral:lncRNA from 1 species